rnacentral:rRNA from 1 species
UACGGAGGGUGCGAGCGUUAAUCGGAAUUACUGGGCGUAAAGCGCACGCAGGCGGUUUGUUAAGCAAGAUGUGAAAGCCCCGGGCUCAACCUGGGAACUGCAUUUUGAACUGGCAGACUAGAGUCGUUGGAGGAGGGGGGUGGAAUUCCAGGUGUAGCGGAUGAAAUGCGUAGAGUGAG